rnacentral:rRNA from 1 species
UGGGGAAUAUUGCACAAUGGGGGGAUAACGGGCGCCACGCGUGGCGCCGUGAAGGUACCCGGAGAAUAAGCAUCGGCUAACUCCGUGCCAGCAGCCGCGGUAAUACGGAGGAUGCGAGCGUUAUCCGGAUUUAUUGGGUUUAAAGGGUGCGCAGGCGGGCGUCUAAGUCAGCGGUGAAAGUUCCCGGCUCAACCGGGUCCGUGCCGAUGAUACUGGGGGCCUUGAAUGCGGUCGAGGCCGGCGGAAUGUGGCGUGUAGCGGUGAAAUGCAUAGAUAUGCCACAGAACACCGAUAGCGAAGGCAGCUGGCCGGGCCUGCAUUGACGCUGAGGCACGAAAGCGUGGGAAUCGAACAGGAUUAGAUACCCUGGUAGU